AAAUAAUACAGUUGAAAGCUGUAGACAGUAGGUGCUUUUACAAGCUUAAAUCUACCUACCGAGGCUGGAGCGACUUGUACUUGAUAAUAUGCAGUAUAAUCUUUUAUACUGUUCGUAUAUAGUUAAAAAGUCUCCAGCAAAGCUGGAGACUUUUUACUUUUUAUUA
rfam:Orenia sp. Z6 2524618310, whole genome shotgun sequence.